GAAAAUAUUACUUGUGCUAUAGGAAGAGUCAGUCUUAGCUGUGGCAAUGCUGAUUGUGAUGGCAUCACUUGUUUGCUAUUUCAAACACAGGAAAGCUGGCAGAAAGGCUGGUGUGUUGCGAGGAAACAGCCUACAUCACGAUUCUCUACGACUCGAAGCCGGCUCAAGAUACAAUUAUACUUCACUGAAAUGACUCUUCCAGGAACAUCGAAGCGAUGACCCACUGCAGUCCCCCA